GUGCUUGCUUCAGGAGUACAUAUACUAAAGUUGGAAUGAUACAGAGAAGAUUAGCAUGGUGCCUGUGCAAGGAUGACAUGCAAAUUCAUGAAGUGUUCCAUAUUUUU
rnacentral:snRNA from 1 species